UGGGGAAUAUUGCACAAUGGGCGAAAGCCUGAUGCAGCAACGCCGCGUGAGUGAUGAAGGCCUUCGGGUUGUAAAGCUCUGUCUUUUGGGACGAUAAUGACGGUACCAAAGGAGGAAGCCACGGCUAACUACGUGCCAGCAGCCGCGGUAAUACGUAGGUGGCAAGCGUUGUCCGGAUUUACUGGGCGUAAAGGAUGCGUAGGCGGAUUUUUAAGUGAGAUGUGAAAACCCUAAGCUUAACUUGGGGACUGCAUUUCAUACUGGAAAUCUAGAGUGCGGGAGAGGAGAAUGGAAUUCCUAGUGUAGCGGUGAAAUGCGUAGAGAUUAGGAAGAACACCAGUGGCGAAGGCGAUUCUCUGGACCGUAACUGACGCUGAGGCAUGAAAGCGUGGGUAGCAAACAGGAUUAGAUACCCUGGUAGUCCACGCCGUAAACGAUGAGUACUAGGUGUAGGAGGUAUCGACCCCUUCUGUGCCGCAGUUAACACAAUAAGUACUCCCGCCUGGGAAGUACGAUCGCAAGAUUAAAACUUAAAUGAAUUGACGGGGUCAUAGCUGUUUCCU
rnacentral:rRNA from 1 species